ensembl:lncRNA
CCUGGGUCUCCCAUCAUCCAGCAGGCUUGCCCAGGCAUGUUCUCAUAGUGAAGCAGAGGGCCGGAGCAGGCGGAAAGGCACCGCCCUCUGCUGUGUCUCCUCUGCUAACAUCCUCCCGGCUAAAGUGAGUGGCUGGCUGAGCCCAGAGUCCCAGGAGUUGUGGCACGUGGGAUGCUGCCUCAGCGCGGUUUGAUGAGCAGUGCCAUGUCCACGCCCAGGAUUCGAACCAACGAAACACUGGGCCGCCUGCAGCAGAGUGUGCGACUUAACCACUCCGCCAUGGGGCCAGCCCCAUGGGAGCUUACACUUUUGAGGCAAUGACACCCAAUAAACAGAGAAACAAAGGGCCGUGAAGGGCACUGGGAAGUCCGGAAAGUGCCACGAAGAAACGGGAAGCAGGUAAGGACUCUGUCCUCCAUCGAGUGGUCAGGGAAGUCCUUCUGAUGAAAUGUUUGAGCCGAGACCUGAAGAAGCGAGAGGGAGUCAUGUGGAUACGUGGGAGGAAGGCUCCAGGUCAGGGCAACGGCAGGUACUGAGCUCUGGGGCCGGAUCUGCUUGGUGUGCUUGAGGAACAGUGAGCAGCCGGUGGCUGGAACAGAGUGUGUGAAGCAGAGACAGGAAGGCAGUGAGGUGAUGGAGAUAAGCAGGGCCAGCCACGUGGGGCUUUGUGGGUCUGGUGACGACUCUGAUUCUACUCCGCGUGUGAAGGGAGCUUUUGGAGGAUGGUGAGCAGAGAGUGAGGCAAUCCGAGUCAUAGUUUCAGAAGGCCCCCCGGGGAGCGGGGGACCCCAUUAGGAGCUUGUUGCAGUCAAGGAGAGAGUCAGUGGCAGUGAUGGGGGCCAUGGCAGGUGGUCGGAGUCAGGAUAUAGCUGGAAGUGAACCCAACAGGAUCUGCCAAAGCACUGGAGGGAAGCGAGGCGGGAGUCUGGGCGGGCUGGCACUUUGGUCUGAACAAGUGGGUCAUUGGAGUUGCUAUUUGCUUAGAUGGGAGUGCUGGCUAGGGUAGGGGCUCAGUUUUAGACAUAAAAAGUCCUCUGGGAGGAGAGAGUCUUUGGGACCUGGACAGAGUGACUGGCGUCUGAGGGAGGCAUGGGGGCUUGGGGAGCCCCACCGUCCACUGAGUGGGGGAAGCAAGAGGCCAUCAGAGGGUCACUAGUCAGUUCAUUCAUUCCGCAAAAAUUUAUUGAGCACGAAGGAUAAGUCAGACACUUUUCCACAUUCUGGGGAAACAGCAGAGAAGAGAAACAAUGUUGCCACUCUAACUUGGUACCUUACUUUCCCGUGGGGGAGAUAGACAAUGAGUAAGCAAACACAUAUAAAAAUAAGACUAUGUCACAGAAGGAUGGGUGUUACAAGGAAACACUGGAGGGUGAUGCAGAGUGACCAGAGGACUCACAGUUGGGCAGGAUGGUCACCCAGGCAGCCCCAAGGACCAAACCCAGACUCCCAGGAGGACCCUGGUCCAGUUUGGCUUCUUUUUGUCCCCCAAAGUGGCUGCUGUGUCAUGAGGAGGGUUGGGAAGAGGAGUGGACCUCCAGUGACCCUGAAGGGUCUCGGGAAGGGCUUUGUCCUAGAGGCGGGCUCCUGAGGCGGGCUGCCUCUGUGAGGCUGUCCUGGUUAUCAAGCUCUGGGCAUGAGGAAUCUUGGACAGAACAGGUGGAAGUGGAGAGCAUUCCCUUACAGCUGCCCGAAUGGACUAAGACAGGCGGAGUUCUGGCCAAUGGAGGGGGCUGCUGAAUUCCAUCCCAGGAACGUGCGGAAGGAGGUGGCUCUGGUGCUCUGCUUUUGAGAGAAGAAGGUAAGGAGGGAGCCAUGGUUUGUGGCCUGAGCUUCCUGACCAACAGUCCCUAGCCAGUCUGGCUUGCCCUGGGGAGGCUGCGGG